AACACAUGCAAGUCGAGGGGCAGCAUAAUGGAUAGCAAUAUCUAUGGUGGCGACCGGCGCACGGGUGCGUAACGCGUAUGCAACCUACCUUUAACAGGGGGAUAACACUGAGAAAUUGGUACUAAUACCCCAUAAUAUCAUAGAAGGCAUCUUUUAUGGUUGAAAAUUCCGAUGGUUAGAGAUGGGCAUGCGUUGUAUUAGCUAGUUGGUGGGGUAACGGCUCACCAAGGCGACGAUACAUAGGGGGACUGAGAGGUUAACCCCCCACACUGGUACUGAGACGCGGACCAGACUCCUACGGGAGGCAGCAGUGAGGAAUAUUGGUCAAUGGACGCAAGUCUGAACCAGCCAUGCCGCGUGCAGGAUGACGGCUCUAUGAGUUGUAAACUGCUUUUGUACGAGGGUAAACGCAGAUACGUGUAUCUGUCUGAAAGUAUCGUACGAAUAAGGAUCGGCUAACUCCGUGCCAGCAGCCGCGGUAAUACGGAGGAUUCAAGCGUUAUCCGGAUUUAUUGGGUUUAAAGGGUGCGUAGGCGGUUUGAUAAGUUAGAGGUGAAAUUUCGGGGCUCAACCCUGAACGUGCCUCUAAUACUGUUGAGCUAGAGAG
rnacentral:rRNA from 1 species